GGUUCCAUCGGAUUGAAGAAGGUUGACGGAGCGGCCAUCGUUGUGCGUGAAAGUUGCAGUACGAGGGACCAAGGACGGGAAGGCAGUGGUGAGGGAGACCAAGUGCUGGCGGAUCAGCCACUUGGUGUCUUCAGAGUAGGGGAGGGCGGAGGGGCCGCGCUGAGAGAGGACGGAGCUGAGGAAUUGUUGGAUUAUCUGAGGAUUGGGCGGUGAAGGAUCGGAGUGAGACGGCGACGGUACCAUAGCAUAGAGAUUGUCGAUUCGAAUGUGGGAAAAUUAAUUGGAUUUCUUGGAUUGAUCGAAGGAUCUGAUCGCCGGAGAUGGAUUUUUCUUC
rnacentral:misc_RNA from 1 species